UUCGACGGAGAGUUUGAUCCUGGCUCAGGACGAACGCUGGCGGCGGGCCUAACACAUGCAAGUCGAACGCACUCGACCUUCGGGUCACAUGAGUGAGUGGCGAACGGGUGAGUAACACGUGAGGAACCUGCCCCGAAGACUGGAAUAACCCGAGGAAACUCGGGCUAAUACCGGAUAUCCCCACCAGGUCGCAUGGCCAGGUGAGGAAAUGCUCCGGCGCUUCGGGAGGGUCUCGCGGCCUAUCAGCUAGUUGGUGAGGUAACGGCUCACCAAGGCAUCGACGGGUAGCUGGUCUGAGAGGAUGAUCAGCCACACUGGGACUGAGACACGGCCCAGACUCCUACGGGAGGCAGCAGUGGGGAAUAUUG
rnacentral:rRNA from 1 species